rnacentral:rRNA from 1 species
UAGGGAAUCUUCCGCAAUGGACGCAAGUCUGACGGAGCAACGCCGCGUGAGUGAAGAAGGAUUUCGGUUCGUAAAACUCUGUUGUUAGAGAAGAACAGCGCAUAGAGUAACUGUUAUGCGUGUGACGGUAUCUAACCAGAAAGCCACGGCUAACUACGUGCCAGCAGCCGCGGCAAUACGUAGGUGGCAAGCGUUGUCCGGAUUUAUUGGGCGUAAAGCGAGCGCAGGCGGUCAAUUAAGUCUGAUGUGAAAGCCCCCGGCUCAACCGGGGAGGGUCAUUGGAAACUGGUUGACUUGAGUGCAGAAGAGGAGAGUGGAAUUCCAUGUGUAGCGGUGAAAUGCGUAGAUAUAUGGAGGAACACCAGUGGCGAAGGCGACUCUCUGGUCUGUAACUGACGCUGAGGCUCGAAAGCGUGGGUAGCAAACAGG